rnacentral:rRNA from 1 species
UGCGCAGGCGGAAUGAUAAGUCAGUGGUGAAAUCCUACGGCCUAACCGUAGAACUGCCAUUGAUACUGUCAUUCUUGAGUACAUAUGAAGUGGGCGGAAUGCGUCAUGUAGCGGUGAAAUGCAUAGAUAUGACACAGAACACCGAUAGCGAAGGCAGCUCACUAAAUUGUAACUGACGCUCAUGCACGAAAGCGUGGGGAGCAAACAGGAUUAGAUACCCUGGUAGUC